ACCUUUAUAUUGUUCAUGCAUUGUGCUUUAUGUUUGAUAUUUGUUGAUUCACACAGCUGAUCGUUUCCUGCAAUUGUGGGUUUAUGCUUAUUUCUCGGCCCUUGCCCCAAAGCUGAUGGACGAGAUUGCCUUGGUCGUGCCCUAUUCAUGGUAGUAUGAUGGUAGGUGCCGCCGCCAGAGCCGCAAGGACAUGACUUUUGCCUUCUAUCAUUGCUACUUCAACACAGUGGUUGCCCGCGAGAUCACCUGGCAACCAUAGGUGAUGAUGCCAGCCAGAGUUAGGGACCAGUACGCCGGAGCCUAAGCUAUUUCCUGAUAUCAGAUCUUGUUGGAGGGCCCAUUCUACUGAGCUUGGUUCUUGGGAGAGCGGUUUGUACGCUAGACACUGGGCUUGCUCACCCUGGUUGUUCCUAUGUUGCCUCUAGCAUCCAUGAGGAUAGCUAAUAGUCUCUCAGUUGAGGCCAUUAUUCAGUAUAUGGUGGGGUUAGAUGCCGACUACUUCUAAGGGGAGGGUGACUACACGACCUUCAUCUAGACUCAUCUUAUGCCACCCUUGAUUGGAGUUCGCGUCGGCAGUGUAGCGGGUGCUCCCUUGAUCGGAGAGGUUGCUUAAGGGGCUGCUGCUGGUAUUGGAGAGGCUCCGUCUACUUUCUGUUGGCUAGCGAUUCCUACCAUGAUUCUUUGCAGGCUGCCAAGCGGGAUGACCUAUCAGCUCCUAAUAAAGCCACCGGAGGCGGGGCACGGGUAUGUCAGAGCCUCGGGCAGACCUCAGCACCCACAAAGUAUACAGAGGGCCUUCUUCAGCUGGUUCCCUCCUUGGUUCAGUGGUGCAGAUGAGGGAGAUAUUGCUCACUCUUCGCAGUAUCCAGGUAUACUUCCAUUCCCCUUAUGCGUUGCAUUGCUUCCCACACUAUACUGAUAUGCCAUAUUCCCACUGAUACAUGAUAUUCAUACUUUCCACCUACGCCGAGGGCACCAGCGGUAGCGGCAACACUAGUGGCAUCUCUUUCAGUGAUAGGGAGGAGAGGUAGACGGGCCCCAGCAUGCAGCCAAGAUGAGCGUCGAGGCCAAGGUAGAGGUAGACGUACUCGGAAUCGAAGCAGCUCGGAGCCAGUUUUGAGUGAGGAUGAUACUAAGACCAGCGACUCUGAGGAGGCAGUGAGCCGACACUCUGAGUCUGAGAGCGAGACGAUGAUGUGAACUCUAGAUCAGAGAGCAAGGAGGACGCUGAGGCUGGUUUUGAGUCAAGAAGCGGAGAUGAUGAUACUGGCUCCGGUUUGAAGUCUGAUUCUGAUAGUGGCGCCGAUGAAGACAGUGCCCAUGAGUCCCCUUCGAGGAAGAAGACGAAGAGGGCCUCUCGAGCUUGAUGCGACUGGCACAGAUUUUUGUACUCUUUUGCUUAGUUUCUUUUUGUUUUGGUAGCUUACACAUGCAUAGCUUCAGAUAGGUAUUUACUCUUGCUUUUGAACAGACUUGUACUCUCUUUUGUAAAAAACUUUGAUUGGGGGAAAACCCUGAAGUUUAUAAAAGAGUUAUUGUUUUAUU